rnacentral:rRNA from 1 species
ACGCACGCUGGCGGCAUGCCUAACACAUGCCAGUCGAACGAUCCCUUCGGGGAUAGUGGCGCACGGGUGCGUAACGCGUGGGAACCUGCCCUUAGGUUCGGAAUAACUCAGAGAAAUUUGAGCUAAUACCGGAUAAUGUCUUCGGACCAAAGAUUUAUCGCCUUUGGAUGGGCCCGCGUUGGAUUAGCUAGUUGGUGGGGUAAAGGCCUACCAAGGCGACGAUCCAUAGCUGGUCUGAGAGGAUGAUCAGCCACACUGGGACUGAGACACGGCCCAGACUCCUACGGGAGGCAGCAGUGGGGAAUAUUGGACAAUGGGCGAAAGCCUGAUCCAGCAAUGCCGCGUGAGUGAUGAAGGCCUUAGGGUUGUAAAGCUCUUUUACCCGGGAUGAUAAUGACAGUACCGGGAGAAUAAGCCCCGGCUAACUCCGUG